rnacentral:misc_RNA from 1 species
AACGCACCUUGCGCUCCUUGGUAUUCCGAGGAGCAUGCCUGUUUGAGUGUCGUGAAAUCUUCAAACCCCUUUGGUUUUUCCGGAGGGUGCUUUGGUUUUGAGGGUCUGUCGGCGGUUGUCGACUCCCUUUCAAAAGCAUUAGCCUCUUCCAUUUCCUCUUCUUUUCUCUUGGCGUGAUAGUCCAUCUGCGCCUGGCUCCGAAAGGAAAAGGGAAGAAGCUUUCAACUCUUUUCAAUUUAAACCUUUGACCUCAAAUCAGGUAGGAUUACCCGCUGAACUUAA